rnacentral:snoRNA from 1 species
CUCAAUGAUGAACCUUAAUUCUUGAUAGGAAUUGCCGACUGAUACAUAACUGAAGAGAUCAUAUCAGUUCUGACU